GAUGAACGCUAGCUACAGGCUUAACACAUGCAAGUCGAGGGGCAGCAUGGUCUUAGCUUGCUAAGGCCGAUGGCGACCGGCGCACGGGUGAGUAACACGUAUCCAACCUGCCGUCUACUCUUGGACAGCCUUCUGAAAGGAAGAUUAAUACAAGAUGGCAUCAUGAGUCCGCAUGUUCACAUGAUUAAAGGUAUUCCGGUAGACGAUGGGGAUGCGUUCCAUCAGAUAGUAGGCGGGGUAACGGCCCACCUAGUCUUCGAUGGAUAGGGGUUCUGAGAGGAAGGUCCCCCACAUUGGAACUGAGACACGGUCCAAACUCCUACGGGAGGCAGCAGUGAGGAAUAUUGGUCAAUGGGCGCAGGCCUGAACCAGCCAAGUAGCGUGAAGGAUGACUGCCCUAUGGGUUGUAAACUUCUUUUAUAAAGGAAUAAAGUCGGGUAUGUAUACCCGUUUGCAUGUACUUUAUGAAUAAGGAUCGGCUAACUCCGUG
rnacentral:rRNA from 1 species